GAGGAAUAUUGGUCAAUGGGCGCAAGCCUGAACCAGCCAAGUAGCGUGCAGGAAGACGGCCCUAUGGGUUGUAAACUGCUUUUAUGCGAGAAUAAUUUGAUGCACGUGUGCGUUAUUGCAUGUAUCGUAUGAAUAAGGACCGGCUAAUUCCGUGCCAGCAGCCGCGGUAAUACGGAAGGUCCAGGCGUUAUCCGGAUUUAUUGGGUUUAAAGGGAGUGUAGGCGGUUUGUUAAGCGUGUUGUGAAAUUUAGAUGCUCAACAUUUAACUUGCAGCGCGAACUGUCAGACUUGAGUACACGCAACGUAUGCGGAAUUCAUGGUGUAGCGGUGAAAUGCUUAGAUAUCAUGAAGAACUCCGAUUGCGAAGGCAGCAUACGGGAGUGUAACUGACGCUUAAGCUCGAAGGUGCGGGUAUCGAACAGGAUUAGAUACCCUGGUAGUCCGCACAGUAAACGAUGGAUGCCCGCUGUUAGCGCCUGGCGUUAGCGGCUAAGCGAAAGCAUUAAGCAUCCCACCUGGGGAGUACGCCGGCAACGGUG
rnacentral:rRNA from 1 species